AGCGAACGCUGGCGGCAGGCUUAACACAUGCAAGUCGAACGGGCGUAGCAAUACGUCAGUGGCAGACGGGUGAGUAACGCGUGGGAACGUACCUUUUGGUUCGGAACAACCCAGGGAAACUUGGGCUAAUACCGGAUAAGCCCUUACGGGGAAAGAUUUAUCGCCGAAAGAUCGGCCCGCGUCUGAUUAGCUAGUUGGUGAGGUAACGGCUCACCAAGGCGACGAUCAGUAGCUGGUCUGAGAGGAUAAUCAGCCACACUGGGACUGAGACACGGCCCAGACUCCUACGGGAGGCAGCAGUGGGGAAUAUUGGACAAUGGGCGCAAGCCUGAUCCAGCCAUGCCGCGUGAGUGAUGAAGGCCCUAGGGUUGUAAAGCUCUUUUGGCGGGGAAGAUAAUGACGGUACCCGCAGAAUAAGCCCCGGCUAACUUCGUGCCAGCAGCCGC
rnacentral:rRNA from 1 species